GUUGCACAGAUCACAUUUAGACUUUAACUCUAGCAUGUUUCACUACAAAAAUACAGUCAUAAUGACAUUUAUUUUAGUUGAAAUCCCACAUAACGAGUUCAAUGAACACAGCAUAACAAACUUCAAAAACCAACAACACUUGAACGACACAAGUGACUGACAGUUAGCUGGUUUGCUAAGCUAAAUGAAAGAUACCGUUAAGGGCAAAUUAAAAAGAUUAUUCUAAUAAACUCAACAAAAACGAUUUAACUCGUUGCCAUCAAAAUGUCUCUAAGCAGCGAUGACUUAAUCAAUUUGAAAUCACAUGUUUGGGUAAACGUGUUAGCUUCAGUGCUAUCAAGUACAUGCCCCACGUGUGUUUACGUACACAUGGAAGCCGGCUGUGUACAUUUGUAGCAAUAAACAGACACGAUUGUGUUUCAAAAACAAUUGUCAUCGUUCAGACGCUCAACCACACCACAGGGCACAGUAUUAAACGAUUGAUAAAAAAGCGAUUAAAAUUCUAACCUGUUUAUACGUUUCCGAUUUUGGAAGUGCAACACGGCGAGACUCGCUUCCGGUUGGACUCCACAGGAAAACAAAAUGGUUGGCCAACCAAUCUUCGUUCCUGGGAAAGCUGGCGAACAUUUACCCCACAGACCGAAUGUUAGUGACCCCUAGGGUAGCCUAUAUGGCAUGAGUGAAACAUGAUGGCUGAUGUAGGAAUCACGGUGUGAAUGCCAUCUGAUUCUGAAGAUGUCUCCAUGCGUGUCAGCGUCAGAAAAGGCCAUCAAAGCAGCGGAUUGUUUUCUUUCAAAAGGAAAAGGGAAGCACUUGUUCAUCGGUUAAUCUGCACAAAUUCAAACCAGUCGGGUGUUGAAUAUGGAGUCACAAGCGAGGAUCCAGCCCUUUCCUUUCCAAUAUCUGAUUCCACAUGGCUGUUCUGCAUGAGAAAGAUUUUCAUUUGGGAAAAGAAGCCAAAUGGCCACCUUCUCCAGCUCCUGCAUUUAUAUUGCUGAUGUCUCCACAGUCUGCACAUUCAGUGUGUUAUUCAAGUGUAACAUUGACCCAUACUGUGCUGUGAUCAAUAUUUGAGCAUACAAUUAUCAUGGCGUUGAAAGUUAUAAGUCUAUUUGAGUUCUGUAUACAAACAUAAUAGCUGUAUUGCUGUGUAAGAGAGUCUAGAAAUAGAAAGGAGAUAGCCCAAUACAUUUUUCAAGAGUAGAGAGAAAACAACAUAAAGGGGCGGUUUCCUGAACAGGGCUUAUCUUAGUCCCAGACUAAAAUGCUUGGUUGAGCUGCCUUCAUUUUAAAACAUCUUGCACUGACAUAUUCUAACAUAUUUCAGUGCUAUAGUUUUGUCUCAAGAUGCUCACCAGUAUUGCUUUUUUGUAAGCUAUGUUUGUAAAAAUUCCUUAAAUGUCCUAAUAUAACUAAGACCUAGUCCUGGAUUAACCUAAACCUAAACUGCCCCAAAGGGUAUAUCAGACAUACACAUGUAAAACACAUCUAUGUGGAAAUUGCUACAUAAUGGGUUAAUAAAAGUGAUGAUAAUAAUAAAUACAUUUAAAUACAAGGAACCUUUGGUUUUAACAGUGUUUUGUUUGCCAGAUAUUGUUUAUAUUUUAAAGGUCCACACAGAACAU